UGUACAGGACCUUAUGGAAAAUCAGGAUUCGUCUGAUUAACAACAAUACACUAGAAACGCUAUAUACCAGAUGUAGCAUGUAGCCUAGUUGUUAGGGAUUCAAGACGUGUUCAGAGAGAAGUUAAUAAAUGUACAGUGCGUUCCGUUUUAAACAUUUUUUUGGCUACUCGUUAAUACACUGAAAUUUGCCAUUUUUUCGUACCGACCUGAGGGACACUUUUUUACGACACACACGAUUGUUUGAAAGUUGAUUUUUCACUAGACGUCAUUUGAAUGUGCAGUUCCUAUCCGCAUCCCCCAGUCCUACAGUGUGCAAAAAUAGACAGUUGAAAAAAUCUGCUCAUUGUGCUAAUCUGCACAAUGCCGGCUUCAUGAAAUUUGCAGCUGCAGACUUUCUUUAGAUGACUGGUAUCAGAAAUAUUUUCCUGCUUCUUGGAACAAGGAACAUAGGAUGUCUUGAUGCCAACAAAGUGUCAUAUUGGACAAUUGUAAAAAGAAGUCAAGCAGGAGAAACCUUAAGUUGGAGGAUGAUAUAUUUGUUUCCUGUUACUUGUUUUGUAAAACAAAUGGGAAACUGAUUGAUUCUAAAUCGUCAGCUUCCUAGGCAGACACCCAUCAACAAAGCCAUGGGGGAUAGAUUAUAUUCACAAUGGGCACAACUGCAUUGUAAUUUGCUGUCACUUUUACAAAGCUAAACAGGUAUAGCAAAAAUGGCAAAAUUUUUUUAUAUAGAAUUAUGCUGUUUUUUGCUACAUUGGACAGCAGAUUUAGAUCAUGUGUCUACUGUGAAAGAGAUCAUGUGUCUCAACGAAAAUGGCUCUCCCAAGUGUGUCAUUCUGAUGCAGAACCCUUGAAAACAAGUUGACCGUUUUGAACAAUCUCAGGACAAAGCUCAAGCUCUAGUUUGCAGUGGUAUUAGAAAAGUCGUCUUUUUUUGGUUAGAGUUUCUUCGCCGUCCGAUGCAUCAGCUGGAAUGAUGUUCAGUUCCUCGACCUCAUUGCUCACGUAAUUUAAUAACUUUGGGCUUCGAAAAAAGUUGUACUAAUCUUCAAUUUUUAAAAGAUAAUUUUGAUUCAUUAUUCUUAUCUCGUGGUUGUAUCGAUCCGGAAAGGUAAAUCGGAAGAGGGUAUUUUUUUCCUUGACAUAAGAACGGAAAUUUAUCCGUAUCCAAACAGAUCAAAUGCACGAGGUAUUCCGCCUCGUCCGGCAACUUACCAGCCAGCAACGCAUCCAUCAACAGAAUGUUUAUGGAUUAAUGGUUAUAUCGUCGUUAUAAUGAAUAGAAGGUUAGUGGUGGUCACGGUGGUUCACCCCCAUGAGAGUGAACUGGUUGAGUAAAUAGAUUUAUGUUGAUGAUUCGUGUUAUCGUUACCGUUUUAGACUGAAAAUCACGAGAUCAAUUUUCACUCUACACAAUUUCUAUUAUUUCUAAGUUUCUACAUGUUGCAGCUACAUUAUAUAGAAAUACAGUCUAAAUGUUCAUGUAACUCAUGGCUCUAUGGUUGAGCACCGGUGUUGUAUGCCGAAAGUCUAGGAUCGAUUCCCGACAGAGUUAAAAUGCUGUAUGGUUUUAAAUUAGUCAAUGAAACUUGUACACAAAACGGUAAGCUCAAUCAAUUAUUGUAUAAUCCUGAAAUAUCACAAGAUGAAUGCGAAGUAAGACGGAGAAUAUAAUAGCGGUAAAACAAUAAAAUGCUUUUCCUAGGUACAGCAAUGUGCAAGAGCAGUAGAACUUCAUGCCAACCACAAGGAUUCUGCUUUUGCAUACACCUUCAUUAUUAAUGUGUUUCUUCAGGUAUGGUCACUAUCAGCAGCUUUACACACAGUGUGCAUCGUGAAUACAUCAAUCCCAGAGAAAACAUUCCAAUGGAAAAUAUUGAGAAUUUCUGCCCUUCUAUCCUGAACUAAACAAUGCUGGGAGAUUGGUUAUCUCUUCACAGAGAUGAGUCAUCCGCUCCUUGGACAACGCUGCGAUCGU